GACAGAGGUGCCGAGCGUUAGGCGGAAUCACUGGGCUUAAAGCGCGUGUAGGCGGAUCGUUAAGUACCUUGUGAAAUCCCACGGCUUAACCGUGGAACGGCUGGGUAUACUGGCGGUCUUGAGCCACCUAGGGGCCUGCGGAACAAGCGGUGGAGCGGUGAAAUGCGUUGAUAUCAUUCGGAACUCCGGUGGCGAAGGCGGCUCGCUGGACCUCUUCUGACGCUGAGGCGCGAAAGCUAGGGGAGCAAACGGG
rnacentral:rRNA from 1 species